UCUCAUUGGUUCGAAAAACAACUUUCGGAAAAUAAGAAAUAUAAAUAUGAUUUACUGUUUGGCCUUAAUCGUCGUCGCCCUCAUUUUGGCCAUCAUCCAUAGGGGAGAAGCGGGUACUUCUAUCGUUGAUUGUUUUACAAAACUGGAGGAACUAGCCCACAACGCCGCACAAAUGGGAUUCGCACUUGUUAAUCCCAUCGGUAAUAUUCUUAGAGGCCACUGACGACAACAAGGUUCUACUGUAGUAACCUAUUACUUUCCAAGAAAUUUAUUGCUCGAAGUAAAUAAAUUGUGCGUACUUAAGAUUUUAGAUUUUCAAAUGUAGCCCAUGCUUGCAAUUCUUUUAAAAUGUAAAAACAAGUACAAACUUAUUAUUUGUUUAAGUUAGUUAUUAAUAUUUAUUAGGCCACAUUAUUGUAAGAAAAUACAGA